UUGAAUUUUAAUGAAGAGUUUGGUUGUAGCUGGCCCAUUCAUUUGGGCAUGUGCACACCUUCCUCUUUCAUCCCACACACACCUGUAAACCUGUGAGACAGAGAUGGGGAAUUUACUUGCUGCUUUUUGGAAUACAAAGGCAAUAGGUUAUUGGACCCCCCCUCUGUCUACUCAAUUAAUAUAAACUCAAUUUAUUUUAAAACGAAUGUAAUGGAUGUAACACAUCUCAUAC
rnacentral:misc_RNA from 1 species